rnacentral:lncRNA from 1 species
UCUACUUCUCUUCCUUUGGCCACUGUUCAAUAAAUAUUAACAUGCCUAAAUUUGUGUUUUCCUUUCAGAUCUCUUCAAUGGGAUGGAACAACAUGAAGCAUUCGCCCGUUUGAUGGCUCGCCGAAAGCUGCUUACUGCCACCGGAACGAGUACCUCCUCCGUCGUUCCCCAACCCGAAUCCCCCCUCACAACUGUCCCCCCAACGUCGACAAAAUCUGCCAUGAAAAUUACUGACAACGUGGAAUCUACGAUUGACGCUAAGCUGAUGGAUCCAUCGGUCGGAAAAAGUAAACCAAAAAGAAAAACUCAAGAGAAGAGUCCUUCC